UUAUUAUUAUUAUUUUUUUUGAAGAGAAAAUUUUUAGAUAGUUUGGUUGUGUUGUUGUUUUUUUAUUGUUUGAUUAACUUUUUAUGUGAAAUAAUAUGGGAGGUUGAGAUAGAUUGCUUGAGAUUUUUUUACAUCUAAAGUAAUUAUGGAUAACAUCGGAGUUAUUAUCGUCGAUUUUUUUUAUAAAUUUAUGUAUAAUAGUGCAGGAAGAAAUGUUGCAUUUUUUUACUUUUUUAAUUAUCUUUACGUGAAAUAAUAAUUUUUUUUAAAAAAAAUGCCAAUAAUGCCAAAAGAGGUUGUUUUACACAUUCUCAUUAAGUUUCACUUUUAAUUUUUACUCCUAGUUUUCUCUUUAUAUCACUAAAAAAAUCUGUAAUUAAGUGAGAGAUUAAAAUAUUAUAAUUUACAAACCACAUGAUAAUAGAGUGGUAAAUUUUAUAAAUUGUAAGGUAUUAAAAUGCAGUAUUUGAUAAAAGCUAUUUAUACAGCUCAAAAGAAAUGAAUAAUGUACACUCUAUCUAUCUAUGGUGGAAUAAUCUUUAUUAGUUAUAUCGAUAUGAUUAGUAAAAAAUUUUCAUUCUAAGAUGAAUAGAUGUACAUCAUAUAUUUCUUUUCAUAAAAUUUUACUCUAUUAGAAUU
rnacentral:lncRNA from 1 species